GACGAACGCUGGCGGCGUGCUUAACACAUGCGAGUCGAACGGAAAGGCCCUGCUUUUGUGGGGUGCUCGAGUGGCGAACGGGUGAGUAACACGUGAGUAACCUGCCCUUGACUUUGGGAUAACUUCAGGAAACUGGGGCUAAUACCGGAUAGGAGCUCCUGCUGCAUGGUGGGGGUUGGAAAGUUUCGGCGGUUGGGGAUGGACUCGCGGCUUAUCAGCUUGUUGGUGGGGUAGUGGCUUACCAAGGCUUUGACGGGUAGCCGGCCUGAGAGGGUGACCGGCCACACUGGGACUGAGAUACGGCCCAGACUCCUACGGGAGGCAGCAGUGGGGAAUAUUGCACAAUGGGCGGAAGCCUGAUGCAGCAACGCCGCGUGCGGGAUGACGGCCUUCGGGUUGUAAACCGCUUUCGCCUGUGACGAAGCGUGAGUGACGGUAAUGGGUAAAGAAGCACCGGCUAACUACGUG
rnacentral:rRNA from 1 species